GACGUAGGGCGCGAGCGUUGCUCGGAAUCACUGGGCGUAAAGCGCACGUAGGCGGCUUUUUAAGUCAGAGGUGAAAUCCUGGAGCUCAACUCCAGAACUGCCUUUGAUACUGAGAAGCUUGAGUCCGGGAGAGGUGAGUGGAACUGCGAGUGUAGAGGUGAAAUUCGUAGAUAUUCGCAAGAACACCAGUGGCGAAGGCGGCUCACUGGCCCGGUACUGACGCUGAGGUGCGAAAGCGUGGGGAGCAAACAGG
rnacentral:rRNA from 1 species